GUCUCUCUUAUUGUUCUCAGACUCUUGACCUUUGUCGUAUGCGUUCAAUUUCUCUGCAAACACGAAACUUUUCUUCUACAAACUCUUAAUCUUCCCUUAUCGUUCAACGUAUUCUCUUGAUUUACCAAUUAAUGUUUUCGUAUCGACCACUCCGUUUCCUUCAAGUCAAACCUAUAAAAUGGAGAGGGUGGAGGGUUGGCUGAAUCUUCACAAGACUUGGUAAAUUAAAUUACGAGGUUUCCGCUAUAUUUUAGGACUGAUGGCGUUUCACUCGAUAAAGUCUCUUCACAAAUUAACUCGAAUCACUUCUGCAGCCGAUUCUUCUGUUAGCAGCCAUGGUGAAGAACCUGAUAACCAAACCAAGUAUAAAGCUCCGUCUCAGUACCGUUUUCACUCUUUUAUAUUUGAUUUGUUGAUUAUUUUUUCAUAUCAGGAGUAUAUUUGAUUGGUACCUGACAUAAGACCGGGGGUUGAUAUACAAGUUAUAAGUUUAAGAACAAUUUUCUGAAAGAUAAAUUUAGAAACUGUUUGUGCUUCUGUUCUUUAGCUCAUGUUCAUAGUGUUCUCCUCUUCUUAACUCAUGUUCAUAUUGUUCUCCUGAUGUUUAAAUUCAUGUUCAUAUUGUUCUGAAACUCAACAGUCAACAUUAUCAAGCUGUUAUAUUCGGAUCUUUAUUGAAAUCUUUUGAAUGAUUAAUGUAGACUUAAAAUAAAUGUGCAAAAAAAUGUUUUUUUUGAACAAGUAUAUAGUAAUAAAAGCGAUGUAUGGAGCUUGGGUUUAGUAAUGCUUGAAUUGCGCUGCAAGAAUCAUAUCCACCUCAGCUGAAGAGGAAACAUGGAGCAGUCUUCUCGAGUUCAUGGAAGCUAUUGAUGACCAACCACCGCCCACUCUUCUUCCUUCAGAAAGUUUCUCCUUUUGCAAAAGGACCCAGUCGAAGCUCUGCAAAGGAUCUAAUGGUUUGUUGAAAUCACCAUCCUUGAAAAUCAUCUCAGGAACAUCCUUUCUUGAAGAAGUACGACGACAACUCUGGGACAAAUCUGGCAUCAUACUUCAUAGAUGCAUGGUCUCUGUUUGCAACGCUUAAGAAUCUGUCUGGUUAGUUCUCCGUUUAGGCUCCAGGAAGAUAUCAUAUUAUCAUCAUCAUCUGGUUGUUACUAUUAUUAUCUGAGGUUUCUUUGUUUUAAACCACCAGUAAAAAUAAUAUCUUGAUCAUAUAGAUUUGUGCUAAUGUUGUAUUUAAAGAUUAUAGGAUAUAUGAGAAUCAUGGGACUGAUUAGUGAGUUAUAUUUUUUUGACUA